UACGUAGGGGGCGAGCGUUGUCCGGAGUUACUGGGCGUAAAGCGUGCGCAGGCGGUUUUUGUAAGUCUGUCGUGAAAUCCCCGGGCUCAACCUGGGAAUUGCGAUGGAGACUGCAAGGCUAGAAUCUGGCAGAGGGGGGGUAGAAUUCCACGUGUAGCAGUGAAAUGCGUAGAGAUGUGGAGGAACACCGAUGGCGAAGGCGGCAUCCUGGACCGGUAUUGACGCUGAGGCGCGAAAGCGUGGGGAGCAAACAGG
rnacentral:rRNA from 1 species